ACUUUUUUUUUAAAUAGUUUGCUACCAUGAUUUUGCCAAUAAUUGCUUGAAAAAAGAUAUGUUUUCAGCUGGCUUUUAAAAGCAACUAAGGAUGUUAUACUGCAAAUGGAAGAUGGUAGGAACACAAAGAAGUAUUGAAUGCAGGGUGAUGAUUGACAUAAAGUGUGCCAGUUAUUUAAAAUCAAGUGUUGAGGAAUGGAGGUGCAUGCUGGCAGUUAAGAUUAUGCUCCAAAUGUUGUGCUGCGGAAAUGAAGAGUCGCUGCAAAAAUUAUGUGACCGAAAGGCAAAGCAAAGGGCACUAAGGAUUGAUGAUUUUUAAAAACUUAAUUGAAGAAGAAGCAGUGAGGAGAAGGGGAGAAGUUUAAUUUCAAAUGGAUGAAGAGUCUUUAGCCUACGACCUCUUCGGUGCAUGUUAUACAGUACUUCAAGUUGCAAUCACACCAUCCUGUGUCACGGUGUACAAUACUUU